CACGUAGGGCGCAAGCGUUGUCCGGAAUUAUUGGGCGUAAAGAGCUCGUAGGCGGUCUGUUGCGUCCGCUGUGAAAACUCGGGGCUUAACCCCGAGCCUGCAGUGGAUACGGGCAGACUAGAGGUAGGUAGGGGAGAAUGGAAUUCCCGGUGUAGCGGUGAAAUGCGCAGAUAUCGAGAGGAACACCUGCGGCGAAGGCGGGUUGCUGGGCUGACACUGACGCUGAUGCGCGAAAGCCAGGGGAGCGAACGGG
rnacentral:rRNA from 1 species